UUUUUGGAGAGUUUGAUCCUGGCUCAGGACGAACGCUGGCGGCGUGCCUAAUACAUGCAAGUCGAGCGAAUCUGAUGGGAGCUUGCUCCUUUUCAGAUUAGCGGCGGACGGGUGAGUAACACGUGGGUAACCUGCCUGUAAGACUGGGAUAACUCCGGGAAACCGGGGCUAAUACCGGAUAACUUUUUUCUUCGCAUGAAGGAGAAUUGAAAGGUGGCACUAGCUACCACUUACAGAUGGACCCGCGGCGCAUUAGCUAGUUGGUGAGGUAACGGCUCACCAAGGCGACGAUGCGUAGCCGACUUGAGAGGGUGAUCGGCCACACUGGGACUGAGACACGGCCCAGACUCCUAC
rnacentral:rRNA from 1 species